AUUGAACGCUGGCGGCAGGCCUACCACAUGCAAGUCGAACGAGUGGCGGACGGGUGAGUAAUGUCUGGGAAACUGCCUGAUGGAGGGGGAUAACUACUGGAAACGGUAGCUAAUACCGCAUACCAUCAGAUGUGCCCAGAUGGGAUUAGCUAGUAGGUGGGGUAACGGCUCACCUAGGCGACGAUCGCUAGCUGGUCUGAGAGGAUGACCAGCCCACAUGGAACGGAGACACGGUCCAGACGCCGACGGGAGGCAGAAGUGGGGAAUAUUGGACAAUGGGCGACAGCCUGAUGAAGCCAUGCCGCGUGUAUGAAGAAGGCCUUCGGGUUGUAAAGUACUUUCAGCGGGGAGGCGUUACCCGCAGAGGAAGCACCGGCUAACUCUGUGCCAGCAGCCGCGGUAAUUC
rnacentral:rRNA from 1 species